rnacentral:rRNA from 1 species
CAGUCGCCACGGUAAUACAGAGGGUGCGAGCGUUAAUCGGAUUUACUGGGCGUAAAGCGUGCGUAGGCGGCUUCUUAAGUCGGAUGUGAAAUCCCUGAGCUUAACUUAGGAAUUGCAUUCGAUACUGGGAAGCUAGAGUAUGGGAGAGGAUGGUAGAAUUCCAGGUGUAGCGGUGAAAUGCGUAGAGAUCUGGAGGAAUACCGAUGGCGAAGGCAGCCAUCUGGCCUAAUACUGACGCUGAGGUACGAAAGCAUGGGGAGCAAACAGGAUUAGAGACCCGCGUAGUCCCUGUCUCUUAUAC